GCACUCGCUUUGGCAGCACAUAUACUAAAAUUAGAACAACACAGAGAAAAUUAGCGUGGUCCCUCUGCAAGGAUGACAUGGAAAUUAUUUUUAUAAUUUUCUU